rnacentral:rRNA from 1 species
GACGAAGGUGGCAAGCGUUGUUCGGAAUUAUUGGGCUUAAAGCGCAUGCAGGCGGGAAGUUAAGUGUUCUGUGAAAUCCCUCGGCUUAACCGAGGACUAGCGGGGCAAACUGGCUUUCUUGAGGCAAGUAGGGGUGUAUGGAACUCUAGGUGGAGCGGUGAAAUGCGUAGAUAUCUAGAGGAACGCCAGCGGAGAAAUCGGUACACUGGGCUUGUUCUGACGCUGAGGUGCGAAAGCGUGGGUAGCGAACGGG